rnacentral:rRNA from 1 species
GACGAACGCUGGCGGCGUGCUUAACACAUGCAAGUCGAACGCUGAAGCUCAGCUUGCUGGGUGGAUGAGUGGCGAACGGGUGAGUAACACGUGAGUAACCUGCCCUCUUCUUUGGGAUAACGCCCGGAAACGGGUGCUAAUACUGGAUAUUCACUGAUUCUCGCGUGGGGGUUGGUGGAAAGGUUUUUUCUGGUGGGGGAUGGGCUCGCGGCCUAUCAGCUUGUUGGUGGGGUGAUGGCCUACCAAGGCUUUGACGGGUAGCCGGCCUGAGAGGGUGACCGGUCACAUUGGGACUGAGAUACGGCCCAGACUCCUACGGGAGGCAGCAGUGGGGAAUAUUGCACAAUGGGCGAAAGCCUGAUGCAGCGACGCCGCGUGAGGGAUGGAGGCCUUCGGGUUGUAAACCUCUUUCGCUCAUGGUCAAGCCGCAGCUUUGGGUUGUGGUGAGGGUAGUGGGUAAAGAAGCGCCGGCUAACUACGUG